rnacentral:rRNA from 1 species
AGUGAACGCUGGCGGUAGGCCUAACACAUGCGAGUCGAACGGCAGCACAGUAAGAGCUUGCUCUUACGGGUGGCGAGUGGCGGACGGGUGAGGAAUACAUCGGAAUCUACUUUUUCGUGGGGGAUAACGUAGGGAAACUUACGCUAAUACCGCAUACGGCCUACGGGUGAAAGCAGGGGAUCUUCGGACCUUGCGCGAUUGAAUGAGCCGAUGUCGGAUUAGCUAGUUGGCGGGGUAAAGGCCCACCAAGGCGACGAUCCGUAGCUGGUCUGAGAGGAUGAUCAGCCACACUGGAACUGAGACACGGUCCAGACUCCUACGGGAGGCAGCAGUGGGGAAUAUUGGACAAUGGGCGCAAGCCUGAUCCAGCCAUACCGCGUGGGUGAAGAAGGCCUUCGGGUUGUAAAGCCCUUUUGUUGGGAAAGAAAAGCAGCAGGUUAAUACCCCGCUGUUCUGACGGUACCCAAAGAAUAAGCACCGGCUAACUUCGUG